AACACACCAUCCGUUCCUGGUAGAUGAUGGCGGAGAAUGAGGAAGUGUUGUUGUGUGUCUGGGGAAGCGCGGACUCACGAGACGAAAGCGUGUACACGAAAGCUCAAGGAGAGCACAUGUGCUGAAAGAUACAACCAUCCCAUCAGUCGGUAUCCCAGUGAGAGCAGACAUUGCAGAGGACAAGCAGGAGUAUCGUGGAGUGACAACGUGAUGGACUACUAAGAUACAUCGUAAAAGUUGGAGACGGAUGCGCACCGCAGAGGGAUCGAACUUUGACGUGUGUAAUAUGAGAGAAAAAGAAAGUACGAGUGGAGAUAUCCUCAUUCAGCAGAGGAGGAGGAGCUUUGGCCUUGGGUCCCUGGGCACAGGAGGUGCUGCAACCUUGUUGUUGCACAGCUCCUUCAUAAAAGCAUCAUACUGUACAUUGGACAAUAUGAUGGUGCGUGUACAUAGUUGCACUGUUUGGAGGCGGAGAAAUAUAACAACUAUAAUCAAUAUAUUGCUUCUACAGCCAUUUCACAAGUA